CGAAAGACGUGCAACAGACCUGCCACAAAUACAGAGAAUUUUUGAAAAAACGGACAGAAUCUUCCUUAUAUUUGUACGUCGUAACACAUAAUACAAAUUAACAACCAGAUCGCCCACUAAUUAACAGAGCAACAAGAUGUACAAGAAUCAUCAUAUAACAUCAAACAGCUAGCCAUCCUUAGUCAUCUACAUUCGAUAUUCUUU
rnacentral:lncRNA from 1 species